GGAACUAGCCCAGAAGAGA
rnacentral:tRNA from 1 species